GUAGUCGCUUCAGCAGCACAUAUUCUAAAAUUGGAAAGAGACAGAGAAAUUUAGCAUGGCCCUUGAACAAGAAUGACAUUCAAAUUCGUGAAGUGUUCCAUAUUCUC